CACACAGAGACUAGAAACACAGAGAAGCCGUAAGGCCGAGAAAGAGAAAGGAAAAAGAAAAAAAGAAGAAAGAAAGGAAGAAAAAGGAAAGAAGAAGAGAGGUGAGAUAAGUACGAAUUGGAGAUCAAGCUUGGGAUUCCUUAAUUUCCAAUUUCAGCAAGGAGACCGCUGAAUUUGAGAUACUUGGGAAAGCCUGCUGAAGUCAAGAGACCGUUUCAUAGUAUGUAAUGUAUAGCCGGAUACUCAUGUUUACUAAACAUUUUGUCUAAUAUUUUGUUUGAUGUUCACUUCGUAGAAGGGUUUAUAAUUGAUGUAAUGCUUGCAAAUAGACAUGAUGUUUUGUAGUAGAAGUUCUCAAUAGAAUUUAGUUGUAUUUUGUUUUUGUUGUAGUGGUAUUGGUGGAAUUAGUGGUUCCUAAAAUCUUUGGUGUUUAAAUGUC